GAUAUUGAUCACCACUUCUCAGUCGACUCAGCCUCAGAUGAGAGCAGUAGUGAUGAAGAAUUGGAAUUGGAAAUGAAUAUAGAUAAGAACCAGAAUGUUGACAAUAUUGAUAUUACAAAGAGUGCUGCCUCAUUUCUCUUAAAGGUGAAAGAAAGGAAUAAAAUACCUCAGGUUGCAAUGGAAUCAAUAAUGGACAGUACACGCACACUGGUAAAGCAAGUGGUAGAUUCUGUGAAAGCGGAAGUUUUAAAUGUCAUGGCCUUCUACCCUCAAUUGAAAUUGUGGAUGUUUACAAAGUAAGUUGGAUCAAGCUUUUUGGAACAAAGUUUGCAAAGUCUGGUAUUAUUGCUAUUGAUGUUGCUGGAGACCCUGCAUUGCCUGUUUUUGGAGUCAUUGUGUGCAUAUGGUCAAUUCUGGACUUUACAUACUUUGAUGUAGAGUUGCUUAAGACGUUAUCUUUCGAUGAAAAACAUCAAGCUUAUCACGUUUCGGAGAGUACAGAGGAUGUUACUGCAAUUUAUCCUUAUGACAGUCUAGUGGACUUUAAUGUCUUUCAUUGGAAGAAAGAUAAAGAGAAUAACAAGUAUGUUACAGUGAAAUAUGACCUUUGUGAUAUAAUUGAGGAGCAUAUUGAAGGACGAAAUCCUCUUCAUUUGUGACUGGUAAGAGUUUUUAGAAAAAUUUAAAUUGUAUAUAGUAUCUUGCAUGAAACAGGCAGUCAAGACUAUUAACAUAAAUUGUGGCACAUUGUUUCAACACUAUUUCACCAAAUGGCACAUUGUUUCAACUUGUAUGUUACACAGUGAAACAAACAUAUGUAUCCAGAACAAUGUUACCAGGUAUAAUGUAUUGUUUGUAUAAAAAGCGGCAAUCAGCUGCUUUCUUCUUUAUGUGCAGUGGACUUAAUCGCACCUAUAUAUUACUACUAAUGUUGAAUCACCUUGUCAUAACUAUUUACUGUUUAUUGAAGGGCUUAUUCUAGCCAACCUAUAGCAUUGAGUGAUUUUAGGGUUGAAACAUUUUAAUAUUUCAUCCGGAAAGUUUGAAAUUAAAAAUAUCCAUUUCAAAUGAAUCUAUUCACUGAGCUCAUAUAUUAUGAAAACGAUACGUUUUCAGCGAUGACAAUUAAUGCCAAAGUGUACAGUACAAUUUAGAUUUGAAAUGGAUAUUUUUAUUUCAAACAUUCCGGGUGAAAUACAAAAAUAUUUAAUUGAAUUGCCUUUCAAGCUGGCUCCAUAUAGUUAUAACAAAAUUCAGGUAAAAAAAACAUGAAAAGAAAUGGGUGACUUUCCCCAACAGUAUUAGCUGAAGAAAAUUCCAGGAUAAGCUGAUGUAAGCAUGGGUGAUUUGAUCUGUUACUAACAAUUAAUAGUGUGAUUUUUAGUUCAUAAAUAAACUAAAAAAAACAUUUUCAGUUAAAAUCUUCAAAAUGCCUUAAUGCUAUCCUAAUAACGUUUGAACGUCUUUAAAUGUUAAGUGUCUGACUUUUAAUAAACUGUAUCGAGCCACUUCUAAUAAAAAUUAAGUAAUAGGUAGAACUAAUUUACUAGAUUUAAGAAUGAGAAUAAAUUUGUUCCAACAUUGUUCUUGUUUCAAGGA